CCUACGGGUGGCAGCAGUGAGGAAUAUUGGUCAAUGGACGAGAGUCUGAACCAGCCACGUAGCGUGAAGGAUGACUGCCCUAUGGGUUGUAAACUUCUGUUAUAUGGGAAUAAAACAGGGUAUGCAUACCCUCUUGUAUGUACCCUAUGAAUACAGAUCGGCUAACCUCGUGCCAGCAGCCGCGGUAAGACGGAGGGUCAGAGCGUUAGUCGGAUUUAUUGGGUGUAAAGGUCGCGUAGGUGGAGUGUUAAGUCAGGUGUGAAAGUUUGGGGCGCAACCGGAAAAUUGCAGUUGAAACUGGCAGUCUUGAGUAAAGUAGAGGUGGGCGGAAUUCGUGGUGUAGCGGUGAAAUGCUUAGAUAUCGCGAAGAACUCCGAUUGCGAAGGCAGCUCACUGGACUGCAACUGACACUGAGGCUCGAAAGUGUGGGUAUCGAACAGGAUUAGAUACCCUAGUAGUC
rnacentral:rRNA from 1 species